rnacentral:rRNA from 1 species
AAUAUUGGACAAUGGGCGAAAGCCUGAUCCAGCCAUGCCGCGUGUGUGAAGAAGGUCCUCGGAUUGUAUAGCACUUUAAGUUGGGAGGAAGAGUUGUAGGCUAAUACUUUGCAAUUUUGACGUUACCAACAGAAUACGCCCCGGCUAACCCUUUGCCAGCAGCCGCGGUAAUACAAAGGGUGCAAUCGUUAAUCGGAAUUACUGGGCGUAAAGCGCGCGUAGGUGGAUCAGUAAGAUGGAAGUAAAAUCCCCGGGCUUAACCUGAGAACUGCUUUCAUAACUGCUGAGCUAGAGUACGGUAGAGGGUAGUGGAAUUUCCUGUGUAGCGGUGAAAUGCGUAGAUAUAGGAAGGAACACCAGUGGCGAAGGCGACUACCUGGACUGAUACUGACACUGAGGUGCGAAAGCGUGGGGAGCAAACAGG